AGAAUCAACGCUGGCGGCGUGCCUAACACAUGCAAGUCGAACGCGAAAGCCCCGAAAGGGGCAAGUAGAGUGGCAAACGGGUGAGUAACACGUGGGUGACCUGCCUUCGAGCGGGGGAUAACGUCCCGAAAGGGACGCUAAUACCGGCAUAACAUACCUGCCUUUGAAGAGGUGGAGAUCAAAGCUGGGGAUCGCAAGACCCGGCACGUUGAAGAGGGGCCCGCGUCUGAUUAGCUAGUUGGUGGGGUAACGCCUACAAGGCAACGAUCA
rnacentral:rRNA from 1 species